AGGGCCUCGCGGCGCCCCAUUUAGCGCCGCGCCGCGCCCCCUCCUCCCCGCCCGCUCCUUAAAGGCCGAGCGCCGGCGCGGCUCCUCGGGCGGCUCGGGGAGAGGCACAGGAAAUGACCUCAGCAGGCUCCAGCCUCCCACCUCUCCGCAACCGCUCGGCUCGUCCCUGGGGCAGGCGGGGAGGGCGGCGGGGUCUCCCGGCCCUGGCCCCGAGCUCUCCGCGGGGGAGGGCGGGCCGCACCGGCUGCCGCGACGGGCGGCCGGGUGCCCCGAGACCUGCUCAGCCCCCGGCCGGCGUGGGACCCUCACAGGAUGGGGCGCAAGACCAGACCUUUUUCCCCACGAGGAGGUUCCAGCAUUUGCUGGCAACCUGUGAGAACUGCAGCGCCCGGGUAUUUGGAGAAGUCCUUAUUUCCAACAAUCUGUCCCACUGCCAGACCUGAUUGGUAAUUUGGAAAAAAAAGUCCCCUCAAAGCAGAGGGUAACCUGCUUGGGCUUUCCGCCCAGGCCUGAACAGAGGCAACCACCACCAGGGCCCAGUUUUCCAGAGUGGCUUUGGAAGACUCACUCCAGGCCAUGAUGAAGGAUCCCCUGGCUCCACCCCAAAUUUGAAUUUGAAUCUCUGGAGCUAAGAGCUCUACUGGGGCACUGAGUCAGGUGUAAACUCCGCACGCUGUCUGCCUCCCCCAUGGCAUGGACGUUUGCUGUACGGGGCUGCAUAGCAGCCUUUGGCCUCCUUUGGGAAACUGCUCCUUGAUUUCACGCUCACUGCUUACCUCUCGAUCAUGAUGGGGGAGCUGGUAUUGCCUAUGUCAGAGGAUCCUGCAGGCCCUUCCCUGGCCAAGAGUUGGAUGCCUGACUCAACUUGGGUGCAGACAGACAUAGAGGACCUUGGAUGGAGCAUCAGAAGACCUGAGUUUGACCUGCAUUCUGCCUGUACUAACAGUAUAGCCUUGAUCAAACCAUGCAAUUUCUCUGAGCCUCGAUUUCCUCAUUUAUAACAUGAGGGUUAAAAUAGCUGCCUUACCCAAAGAGAAAAAGGUAUGUUAAUUGUAAGGCAUUAUAUGAAUUUUUUGUUAGGAAGCAAUGAUUCGUAGUUUAGGAAUGAGGAAAACCUAGAUUGUGCAGUUAAGUCCAUGGGAGAGCUGGGUACAGUAGAGACCAGCUGAGCCGAGCCUUGUGCCUUCUUCUUGAUUCUGUGACUGGCAACUUGGCUUCUAUACUAAGGAUGAAAAUAUUAAUAUUAUAUAUGAAAACAUUUUCUUUGAUCUCAAAGUUUAUUUUUUGUCUCUGAUUUUAAAAGAAAUUUAAACAUUUUUGUGGGCCCUAAAAUAU